UACGGAGGGUGCAAGCGUUUAUCCGGAUUCACUGGGUUUAAAGGGUGCGUAGGAGGGCAGGUAAGUCAGUGGUGAAAUCUCCAAGCUUAACUUGGAACUGCCGUUGAUACUAUCUGUCUUGAAUAUUGUGGAGGUGAGCGGAAUAUGUCAUGUAGCGGUGAAAUGCUUAGAUAUGACAUAGAACACCAAUUGCGAAGGCAGCUCGCUACACGAAUAUUGACUCUGAGGCACGAAAGCGUGGGGAUCAAACAGG
rnacentral:rRNA from 1 species